UUACGAUACAAGACACUCUUGCAGACAUCCCGCCGCGGAUCAGUGUGUAGUAUGUGUGUGUGUGUGUGUGUAACUAACAUGAUGGUAAAAU
rnacentral:miRNA from 1 species